UAUAUAUAUAUAUAUAUAUAUAGAGAGAGAGAGAGAGAGAGAGAGAGAGAGAGUCCGGCUAUGGUGCUUGUAAAAGCACCAAGUACUUGGUACUUGUAAGUUUUUUACCGUUAGAUCUACUUCUUUGAUCAUUUUCAACCGUUAGAUUAUACUAUUCAACCAACUACCCACUCAUUCCUAGGGGGCCCACAUCAUCAUAACCGCACAUAACUUAAUCCAAGGGCCGAAAACUUAUAAGUACCAAUGACUUGGUACUUUUAAAAGCAUAGGAGCUCAAUUAUAU
rnacentral:lncRNA from 1 species